CCUACGGGAGGCAGCAGUGGGGAAUAUUGCACAAUGGGCGAAACCCUGAUGCAGCGACGCCGCGUGAGUGAAGAAGGAUUUCGGUAUGUAAAGCUCUAUCAGCAGGGAAGAAAUAAAGCACUUUGGACUCUGUACGGUACCUGACUAAGACGCCCCGGCUAACUACGUGCCUGCAGCCGCGGUAACACGUAGGGGCCAAGCGUUCUCGGGUUUUACUGGGUGUAAAGGGAGCGUAGACGGCAGGGCAAGUCUGGAGUGAAAUCCCAUGGCUUAACCCUGGAACUGCUUUGGAAACUUUGCAACUAGAGUGCAUGAGAGGUAAGCGGAAUUCCUAGUGUAGCGGUGAAAUGCGUAGAUAUUAGGAGGAACACCAGUGGCGAAGGCGGCUUACUGGACUGUAACUGACGCUGAGGCUCGAAAGCGUGGGGAGCAAACAGGAUUAGAUACCCGAGUAGUC
rnacentral:rRNA from 1 species